AGAAAGGGCGGCUUCUACCAUGCAGUCGAGCGAUGACGAUGUGAGCUGUGCUUCCAGAUCAUCGAGCGACGGACGGGUGAGUAAUGCGUGGCCUUCUGCCCGAUCGGGGGGGAUAACCUGGAAAAACUCAGGCUAAUACCGCUUACUUCCUACGGGAUAAAGCAGGGGAUCUUCAGACCUUGCGCUAUCGGAUGAUCCCAUGUCGGAUUAGCUUGUUGGUGGGGUAAUGGCCUACCAAGGCGACGAUCCGUAGCUGGUCUGAGGGAUGAUCAGCCACAUCGGGACUGAGACACGGCCCGAACUCCUACGGGAGGCAGCAGUGGGGAAUAUUGGACAAUGGGCGAAAGCCUGAUCCAGCCAUGCCGCGUGUGUGAACAAGGUUUCGGGUUGUACCUCACUUUCAGUGAAGAAGAACGCCUCUGGCUUACUACGUCAAAAGGAAGACAUCACUCACAGAAGAAGCACCGGCUAACUCCGUGCCGCAGCCGCGGUUAUACGAUAGGGUGCGAGCGUUAAUCUCAAUUACUGGUCGUAAAGCGCGCGUAGGUGGCUUGAUAAUCCGGCUGUGAUCUCCCCGGGCUCCACCUGGAAAUGGCAUCCGGAACUGUCACGCUAGAGUGCGGGAUAGGAAUGUAGAAUUCCCGGUGUAGCGGUAACAUGCGUAGAGAUCGCGAGGAAUACCAGUGGCAAUGGCGCUCUUCUGCACUGACACUGACACUGAAGUGCGAAAGAUGCCUAGCAAACCGAUUAGAUACCCUGGUAGUCCACGCCGAGCAAUGUCCACUAUCCGUUGCCUCCUUGAGAGCUUGUGGCGCAGUAACGCGAUACUCCACACGUGGGAGUACAGCCGAAAGGUUAAGACUCAAAUGAAUUGACGGAGGCCCGCACAACUGUGGAGCAUGUGGAUUAAUUUACGCAGCGCGACAAGCUUACCAACCCCUCGACAUCGGGGAACCUUUCAGAGAUGGAUGGUGCCUUCGGAACUCUCCGACAGCUGCUGCAUGGCUGUCGUCAGCUCAUGUCCUCAAUGUUGGAUCAGUCCCGCAUGU
rnacentral:rRNA from 1 species